UUGUUGCUGAAUUGUCUGUGGGGUUUGCAAAAUGGGAACUCGAACAAAUUUCUACAAGAACCCAUCAAUCUCCUACAAAAAACGUUUAAGCAUCUCCUCCGUUCUUCAGAACCUCCAUGCUUACAACAUCGCCGCCGGCAAUGUUCCUCCCGCCGAUCCACCGCAAGCGACUUCCACCGCCAAUGUUCCUCCCAGCAAUCCACCGCAUCUCACUCCCUCCGCCAGACUCAAACGCAGCCGGAAUCCCGAGCCACCGGAAUUUCUACGCGAAUACCGUGACGAUGCCCCUUCCUCUAUGUCACACCACGAUUACAUCCAAAACAGAAGUCGUGAUAUCUUGUUCCUCACCAGGAAAGAAGUCGUUUCGUCUCGGAAUCACGAUCGCGUUGAAUUGACUGAAGAAGUUUUGGGAAACUCUAAUUCUACUCUUCCCUUGGUGGAUUAUGAUGCAAGUGAUGAAGAUACUCCUUCAGAAUGUGAAGAAACACAUACUCUUCUAAAUUCUGGUCAACAAGAAGAAUUUGAUGGAGUAAAAAAAAGCAGAAAUCAGCAGCGAUUCCCUGUCUCUGGGGAACCUGUUUGUCUUAUAUGUGGAAGAUAUGGCGAAUAUAUAUGCAACGAGACAGAUGAUGAUGUCUGUAGCAUGGAGUGCAAAAGUGAACUUCUGGAAAUUCUUAAACUCAAUGAGGGAUCCUCCCACAACCAAGUUAGAGAUAUCUCCUCAUCUGGAAUUAGUGCUGCUGUACCAGUUCCAGUUUUUGGUGAUGAUACCUGGGAUUAUAAUCAACAUCACUGGUCCAAAAAGACUUGUAGUCUUUCUACUUAUGAAUGUUGGAAAUGUCAAAGACCUGGCCACCUAGCUGAAGAUUGUAUGGUCACUGAGGGAAGUAAUAGAUCUAGUUCCAUUCCAAAGGAUCUUCUUCAACUGUAUAGAAGAUGCCACCAGAUUGGUAAAGACUUGUUAGCUGCAAACUGUAACGUGUGUCGCAGAUCAUCAAAUUUGGCAACAUGCCUUGAUUGUAGUAUUGUCCUUUGUGAUGGUACAUUGACUUGCAAAUAUGACGAUAAUGAAGCAUAUGUUACCAUAUUCAUAAGAAUGCCAGUAUUGAUGCUGUGCAACAACAAAUUAUGGAAGAUGUUUUUAAUGUUACCAUUUUGGAACAGUGUUGCUCUGUUGAGUUGAGUGAUAUAGGCAGGCCACUUGAUUGAGCAUAUAAGAACACACCCUUCCCAUCAAAAAUAUUAUUCACACAAGCUUAAACGUCUGGUUAAAUGCUGCAAGUCAACAUGCAAGGUCACUGACAUCAAGGAUCUCUUGGUUUGUCAUUAUUGCUUUGAUAAAGCCUUUGAAAAGUUCUAUGAUAUGUAUACUGCAACAUGGAAAGGAGCCGGGCUUGCAAUUAUGUGGGGUUCUAUAUGCUGUGAAGACCAUUUCACCUGGCACAGAAUGAAUUGUUUGAAUGCGAAUGUGGAAGAAAGUGCAUACAUUUUAAAACCCGAUGGCCAUAAAGGCAAGCGUACGCAACUUAGUGACUUCAUUUUUUGACGGUUGACAACACUUCGCAUUGCAACUAACAAUUAUAUUUGUAGCUAGUAACUGCUUAGAAGUUUAUUAAUCAGUUAGUUUGUGUGUUUGGAAAUGAUCUGUUAACGUGAUUUAUCCCGUCCAACAGCCCAAAAAUGUGCAAGAAAAGAAUUAUUUGCUUCGGUCAAGACGUGAAAAAUCACAUCCAAUUAUAUAUAUAUAUGGUAUCAUAUGAGAAUGAUCCAGUGUUAUGAAAA